rnacentral:rRNA from 1 species
GCUGAAGCCAGUCGAAGAUACCAGCUGGCUGCAACUGUUUAUUAAAAACACAGCACUGUGCAAACACGAAAGUGGACGUAUACGGUGUGACGCCUGCCCGGUGCUGGAAGGUUAAUUGAUGGGGUCAGCCGUAAGGCGAAGCUCCUGAUCGAAGCCCCAGUAAACGGCGGCCGUAACUAUAACGGUCCUAAGGUAGCGAAAUUCCUUGUCGGGUAAGUUCCGACCUGCACGAAUGGCGUAAUGAUGGCCAGGCUGUCUCCACCCGAGACUCAGUGAAAUUGAACUCGCUGUGAAGAUGCAGUGUACCCGCGGCAAGACGGAAAGACCCCGUGAACCUUUACUAUAGCUUGACACUGAACAUUGAGCCUUGAUGUGUAGGAUAGGUGGGAGGCUUUGAAGUGUGGACGCCAGUCUGCAUGGAGCCAACCUUGAAAUACCACCCUUUAACGUUUGAUGUUCUAACCUAGGCCCAUAAACUGGGUCGGGGACCGUGUCUGGUGGGUAGUUUGACUGGGGCGGUCUCCUCCUAAAGAGUAACGGAGGAGCACGAAGGUUGGCUAAGCAUGGUCGGACAUCAUGCGGUUAGUGCAAAGGCAUAAGCCAGCUUGACUGCGAGAGUGACGGCUCGAGCAGGUACGAAAGUAGGUCUUAGUGAUCCGGUGGUUCUGAAUGGAAGGGCCAUCGCUCAACGGAUAAAAGGUACUCCGGGGAUAACAGGCUGAUACCGCCCAAGAGUUCAUAUCGACGGCGGUGUUUGGCACCUCGAUGUCGGCUCAUCACAUCCUGGGGCUGAAGUAGGUCCCAAGGGUAUGGCUGUUCGCCAUUUAAAGUGGUACGCGAGCUGGGUUUAGAACGUCGUGAGACAGUUCGGUCCCUAUCUGCCGUGGGCGUUGGAAGAUUGAGAGGGGUUGCUCCUAGUACGAGAGGACCGGAGUGAACGCACCACUGGUGUUCGGGUUGUCAUGCCAAUGGCAUUGCCCGGUAGCUAAGUGCGGAAGAGAUAACCGCUGAAAGCAUCUAAGCGGGAAACUUGCCUCGAGAUGAGUCUUCCCUGUCGCUUUAAGCGACCUAAAGGAACGUUUAAGACUAAGACGUUGAUAGGCUGGGUGUGUAAGCGUAGCGAUACGUUGAGCUAACCAGUACUAAUGAACCGUGAGGCUUAACCUG